CAUGGUGGCUCAUGCCUGUAACCUCAGCACUUUGGGAGGCUGAAGUGGUGGAUCACUUGAGGUUAGGAGUUCAAGACCAGCCCGGCCAACAUGGUGAACCCCCGUCUCUACUAAAAAUACAAAAAUUAGCCAGGCGUGGUGGCACAUGCCUGUAAUGCCAGCUACUUGGGAAGCUGAGGCAGGAGAAUUGCUUGAACCUGGGAGGUGGAGGUUGCAGUGAGCCGAUAUCACUCCAGCCUGGGUGACAGAGCAAGACUCCAUCUGAAAAAAAAAAAAAAAAAAAGACAUACAAGUGGCCAACAAACAUGAAAAAAUGCUUGACAUCUUUCACUAAUCGAGAGUUACAAAUCAAAACCACAAUGAGGCCUGGCACGGUGGCUCACGCCUGCAGUCUCAGCACUUUGGGAGGCCGAGGCGGGUCAAUCACUUGAGGCCAGGAGUUCGAGACCAGCCUGGUCAACAUAGUGAAAUCCAAUCUCUACAAAGCAAAAGAAAUGAAUUAAGUGAUACAAGACAUUUUCUUGAUGGACAUGAGACU
rnacentral:lncRNA from 1 species